rnacentral:lncRNA from 1 species
CGUGUAUCCCUUUCGCCGCGCGUAAAGCCGGUGAUCGCAGUCCUUCUAUGUUCCCCCGGUUUCUCUUGACUGCAGAUCUCCAGCAAAAUUAUCCACAAGUGACGCCAUGCCGCUGUUAUUUCCCGUAGGUGUACCAAACCAGGAAACAGAACAAUCCUACGCACCAAGAUCGCGGGGAAGGCGGGUUUGCAGGGGUGGUUCUGCCGAAUAGCUGUGAAGCAUUUGCCUCCGAGACUGGUGUUUUCCCGCCGUAAUAAAUGUAGACAACGGAAAGACCCACCAGACACAAAGACAAACGAACACUUUUGACCACCCACAGAUUCGUGUGAUGCAAUUUCGUUCGCCUAUCAUGCAUGAGGCUAAUCGGGAGGAUGCGCCGCGCCUUUGGUUGUUGUUCUUCGGCUUGAUAUUUUGAAUCGCCGUCCCUUACAGCUCAAUUGAGUCGGAAGAUACGAAAUCUGUCCCAAGACAGGCGGAAGAGAUUAUAGGCUGCCAGCAGAAUUCGUUGGUUACCUACAAAGAUGGCACUCAUCGAGCGUAAGCUGAGAAGAAAAGAAUUCGAACGCGACCAAAAUGCCAGCAGACACGGCGUGGCAUACGAGCCAGAGGCAGCUGUGUGACGACGGCCUCGUUUCGUUCCUUCUGUAGCAUUGUCUGGUGUGAAGAAGAAUUCCGUGAAAAUGCAGAGAAGAUGUUCUAAACGAAAUUCCGACAAGAUGAAAGAUAUUUUGCAGGUUAUGGGAGGAUACGGAAGCCAGUGAUGGCGUGCCGUAAACUAACAAGCCAACUCUGUUUGGUGAUUGCGAUUCAAGGAAGGAUGGUAGCACAGAUUUUGCUUCUGUACGUACUUAGGCGUAUAGAUCGUUGUAAACCAAAUCUUUUUUCAUGGUCUUAUUAGCAUGCCGGAAUGCCAAUGGCCCGCGCAUAGCUAGGUUGCCAACAGACAUCCAACACAGACGCAGUACACACGGCGUGAACACGACAUACAGCACCAUCGAUGUUCUGGGUGCAACCCUGCGAAACUAUGAGCCGAAGAAAACGUAUGUCCAGCUGCGUCAACAGCGACGACACCAUUUUGCCGGUAGUAGAAUAGAAAAUCCAUACUUCAGGGGUGGGGCUACUCGCGCUUUCUGCACAGCAUGAUUUUCCUCUUCUGUGCCGGAGUGACAGGAGGAAACACAGCUUCAAAUCGCUUCUGCGGUCAUGGCCCCUUUCACGACUCCUUCUGGAAGUCCUUAAAGGCAAUUUACCAAGUCUUUUACUCUUGGCUCUUGAGUGAAGACCGCUGUCAAACGACGACCACGAACUGCAGGAUCACUACUCAGACAGGUGUUUCUUCGUUGCCGUUUUCAUACAAAGACUCGAGAUCUUUUUUGUCAGCGCCGGUCGUGUUCUUUCCUCGAACAGACUCAGCCGAGAGGCAGAGACAGUAUAUUUCACGGGUCCCACUCACUUAUUGGUGAACCAAGGACUAGCCACUCUGUGCGUCCCUACAAACAAAACACUUUCUUCCAAAGAAUCGACAGACUGUCACGAAUUCCAUCGAAA